GAGGAAUAUUGGUCAAUGGGCGCGAGCCUGAACCAGCCAAGUAGCGUGCAGGAUGACGGCCCUAUGGGUUGUAAACUGCUUUUGUAUGGGGAUAAAGUCAAUCACGUGUGAUUGUUUGCAGGUACCAUACGAAUAAGGACCGGCUAAUUUCGUGCCAGCAGCCGCGGUAAUACGGAAGGUCCGGGCGUUAUCCGGAUUUAUUGGGUUUAAAGGGAGCGUAGGCCGGAGAUUAAGUGUGUUGUGAAAUGUAGACGCUCAACGUCUGACUUGCAGCGCAUACUGGUUUCCUUGAGUACGCACAACGUUGGCGGAAUUCGUCGUGUAGCGGUGAAAUGCUUAGAUAUGACGAAGAACUCCGAUUGCGAAGGCAGCUGACGGGAGCGCAACUGACGCUUAAGCUCGAAGGUGCGGGUAUCGAACAGGAUUAGAUACCCUGGUAGUCCGCACAGUAAACGAUGGAUGCCCGCUGUUGGUACCUGGUAUCAGCGGCUAAGCGAAAGCAUUAAGCAUCCCACCUGGGGAGUACGCCGGCAACGGUG
rnacentral:rRNA from 1 species